CUGCUGCCUUCCGUAGGAGUUUGGACCGUGUCUCAGUUCCAAUGUGGGGGACCUUCCUCUCAGGACCCCUAUCCAUCGAUGCCUUGGUGGGCCGUUACCCCGCCAACAAGCUAAUGGAACGCAUCUCCAUCGAUGACCGAAAUUCUUUAAUAGUUCUACCAUGCGGAAGAACUAUGCCAUCGGGUAUUAAUCUUUCUUUCGAAAGGCUAUCCCCGAGUCAUCGGCAGGUUGGAUACGUGUUACUCACCCGUGCGCCGGUCGCCA
rnacentral:rRNA from 1 species